UACGUAGGGGGCAAGCGUUGUCCGGAUUUAUUGGGCGUAAAGAGCGUGUAGGCGGCUUUACAGGUCCGUUGUGAAAACUCGAGGCUCAACCUCGAGACGUCGGUGGAAACCGUUUGGCUAGAGUCCGGAAGAGGAGAGUGGAAUUCCCGGUGUAGCGGUGAAAUGCGCAGAUAUCGGGAAGAACACCCGUGGCGAAGGCGGCUCUCUGGGACGGUACUGACGCUGAGACGCGAAAGCGUGGGGAGCGAACAGG
rnacentral:rRNA from 1 species